UACAGAGGUCUCAACCGUUGUCCGGAGUUACUGGGCGUAAAGCGCGCGCAGGCGGCGGUGCUGGCCCGGCGUGAAAGCCCCCGGCUCAACCGGGGAGGGUCGUCGGGGACCGCACCGCUUGAGGGCGGUAGGGGCUGGUGGAAUGCCUGGUGUAGUGGUGAAAUGCGUAGAGAUCAGGCGGAACACCCGUGGCGAAGGCGGCCAGCUGGGCCGUCCCUGACGCUGAGGCGCGAAGGCGUGGGGAGCGAACGGG
rnacentral:rRNA from 1 species